AGUGAACGCUGGCGGUAGGCCUAACACAUGCAAGUCGAACGGCAGCACAGUAAGAGCUUGCUCUUACGGGUGGCGAGUGGCGGACGGGUGAGGAAUACAUCGGAAUCUACUUUUUCGUGGGGGAUAACGUAGGGAAACUUACGCUAAUACCGCAUACGACCUACGGGUGAAAGCAGGGGAUCUUCGGACCUUGCGCGAUUGAAUGAGCCGAUGUCGGAUUAGCUAGUGGGCGGGGUAAAGGCCCACCAAGGGGACGAUCCGUAGCUGGUCUGAGAGGAUGAUCAGCCACACUGGAACUGAGACACGGUCCAGACUCCUACGGGAGGCAGCCGUGGGGAAUAUUGGCCAAUGGGCGCAAGCCUGAUCCAGCCAUAACGCGUGGGUGAAGAAGGCCUUCGGGUUGUAAAGCCCUUUUGUUGGGAAAGAAAAGCAGCAGGUUAAUACCCCGCUGUUCUGACGGUACCCAAAGAAUAAGCACCGGCUAACUUCGUG
rnacentral:rRNA from 1 species